rnacentral:lncRNA from 1 species
AUUUUUUGUGUUGUGUUCAUCAUGAUCUCUACUUUUUUAUCAUUAUUUUUCCAGAAUUUUUUGAUGGAUGGUUUUUAAAUGGGGCUAGGGUUUGUGACAUGUGACCAAUUCUUGUACACUUUGCCAAAACAUUUGUGAAAUGAUGAGAAUGUAUCCAAUGGAUCCCAAAUUUUUUGUGCUUAAACUAGACACACUCAUGGUGAUUUUGGUAUAGAGUUU